rnacentral:lncRNA from 1 species
AAACACUAAGGAUGGCGGCGCCGGGCAGCGACUGGUUGCUGGCUUAGGGCGGGAGAGAUCGUUUGACGUGUGAAGGGGAAGCUCUGAGAAAAACCAGUCCACACCAGUCCGACAGCUUUUUCAGUUCUGGGAUCCCGGAGCCUCGUUAGCGUGAGAUAUCUCUCUGCGACCUGUGCUGUCACUACCGCCCGGGAGCGCGGAACCCUCUGCUGGGAGGUGCAGUUGGCCGGCCCCAGGCCCCGGCCUCCGGAAUGAGAGCCCGGAGCCACUCUCUGUGCCGUAGCUUCGCAGGUACUCACUUUUGAGGGUAAUAACCCCCGGAUCUUUCAGCGCCCCCGAGUGGGAGGUCACUGAUCUGUGUUCCCUUGGCCACCACCUUGGGGACGCCCAAGCCAAGCAACCGAGGUUCAGUUCCAUAAUCCCCUGAUUAUGUUUUCUACGAGAAGUUGGGUUGGUGUAGACCCUGUUGGCUCUUGAGGCGUCCCAACCGUUACAGACAUCCCCCGAAAUUUUCUUGCUACUUUAUUGUCUCUUUGAGUUAUGUCAAAAAGAUCUAUUGGAGAACAUUUGUAGGGCCGUAACUCCGGUGUUGGGUAUCAAGGUAGGUUAGGUAAGUUUUCAGUCAAUC